rnacentral:rRNA from 1 species
AUGGUUAAGUUAGAAAGGGCGCACGGUGAAUGCCUUGGCACUAGGAGCCGAUGAAGGACGGGACUAACACCGAUAUGCUUCGGGGAGCUGUAAGUAAGCUUUGAUCCGGAGAUUUCCGAAUGGGGAAACCCACUGUUCGUAAUGG